rnacentral:misc_RNA from 1 species
AAGUGCGAUAUUUAGUGCGAUUUGCAUGAAUCUGUGAGUCAUCGAGUCUUUGAACGCAACUUGCGCCCUCUGGGGCAUGUCUGUUUGAGCAUCACAACCAAUGCCAAUGCAGCAAUGCGACUUGCCUCACCUGUAGGGUGUGGUGGAAUGCAGAUUUACAGCGUGGAGGCGAGGAGCCUCUUGGAGCCAGAGACACCGACGCGAGUCUGCGGUCUUGUCCAAGAAUCUCCAACACCAACACCAUCACUACAAUCGCGGUCUCAAAUCAGGCAGGACUACCCGCUGAACUUAA